CGGAACGACUGGGCGUAAAGGGCGCGUAGGCGGCUUGUCUAGUCGGAUGGGAAAUUCCUGGGCUUAACCUGGGGGCUGCAUACGAGACGUAUGGGCUUGAGUGCGGAAGAGGGUCGUGGAAUUCCCAGUGUAGAGGUGAAAUUCGUAGAUAUUGGGAGGAACACCAGUGGCGAAGGCGGUUGCCUGGAGCUUUGCUGACGCUGAUGCGCGAAAGCGUGGGGAGCGAUCCGG
rnacentral:rRNA from 1 species